rnacentral:rRNA from 1 species
AGAGUUUGAUCCUGGCUCAGGAUGAACGCUGGCGGCGUGCCUAAUACAUGCAAGUCGAGCGAACGGACGAGAAGCUUGCUUCUCUGAUGUUAGCGGCGGACGGGUGAGUAACACGUGGAUAACCUACCUAUAAGACUGGGAUAACUUCGGGAAACCGGAGCUAAUACCGGAUAAUAUUUUGAACCGCAUGGUUCAAAAGUGAAAGACGGUCUUGCUGUCACUUAUAGAUGGAUCCGCGCUGCAUUAGCUAGUUGGUAAGGUAACGGCUUACCAAGGCAACGAUGCAUAGCCGACCUGAGAGGGUGAUCGGCCACACUGGAACUGAGACACGGUCCAGACUCCUACGGGAGGCAGCAGUAGGGAAUCUUCCGCAAUGGGCGAAAGCCUGACGGAGCAACGCCGCGUGAGUGAUGAAGGUCUUCGGAUCGUAAAACUCUGUUAUUAGGGAAGAACAUAUGUGUAAGUAACUGUGCACAUCUUGACGGUACCUAAUCAGAAAGCCACGGCUAACUACGUGCCAGCAGCCGCGGUAAUACGUAGGUGGCAAGCGUUAUCCGGAAUUAUUGGGCGUAAAGCGCGCGUAGGCGGUUUUUUAAGUCUGAUGUGAAAGCCCACGGCUCAACCGUGGAGGGUCAUUGGAAACUGGAAAACUUGAGUGCAGAAGAGGAAAGUGGAAUUCCAUGUGUAGCGGUGAAAUGCGCAGAGAUAUGGAGGAACACCAGUGGCGAAGGCGACUUUCUGGUCUGUAACUGACGCUGAUGUGCGAAAGCGUGGGGAUCAAACAGGAUUAGAUACCCUGGUAGUCCACGCCGUAAACGAUGAGUGCUAAGUGUUAGGGGGUUUCCGCCCCUUAGUGCUGCAGCUAACGCAUUAAGCACUCCGCCUGGGGAGUACGACCGCAAGGUUGAAACUCAAAGGAAUUGACGGGGACCCGCACAAGCGGUGGAGCAUGUGGUUUAAUUCGAAGCAACGCGAAGAACCUUACCAAAUCUUGACAUCCUUUGACAACUCUAGAGAUAGAGCCUUCCCCUUCGGGGGACAAAGUGACAGGUGGUGCAUGGUUGUCGUCAGCUCGUGUCGUGAGAUGUUGGGUUAAGUCCCGCAACGAGCGCAACCCUUAAGCUUAGUUGCCAUCAUUAAGUUGGGCACUCUAAGUUGACUGCCGGUGACAAACCGGAGGAAGGUGGGGAUGACGUCAAAUCAUCAUGCCCCUUAUGAUUUGGGCUACACACGUGCUACAAUGGACAAUACAAAGGGCAGCGAAACCGCGAGGUCAAGCAAAUCCCAUAAAGUUGUUCUCAGUUCGGAUUGUAGUCUGCAACUCGACUACA